UGCCCGGAGUCCCAGCACCUGCCCCGCCCCCCGCUAUCCCCCUCCUUGCUGGCCUGAUGGGGUGUGGGCCCAAGGGAGCCACACUUGGGCGGAGGCCCUUGGGAUUCCGAUGUUUCCGGAGGUGGGUCUAACUGGCCAUGCUCCAGACACUUUCCUGCCAAGGCUAUGCACAGGCAGAAUUCCCGAACAAGAGAGAAGGGUGCCAUGGGAUGGCAAGGAUUGUGGACAGCCCUCCCGAAUGGCAGUCGGCCAUGCCAGAAGUCAGAAAGAAGGUGUUUCACCGGGCGCGGUGGCUCGCACCUCUAAUCCCAGCACUUUGGGAGGCCGAGGUGGACGGAUCACGAGGUCAGGAGAUCGAGUCCAUCCUGGCUAACAUGGUGAAACCCCGUCUCUACUAAAAAUACAAAAAGAAAAAAAAAAAUUAGCCGGGCGUGGUGACAGGCGCCGUGGUCCCAGCUACUUGGGAGGCUGAGGCAGGAGAAUGGCGUGAAUCCAGGAGGCGGAGCUUGCAGUGAGCCAAGAUCACGCCACUGCACUCCAGCCUGGGCAACAGAGUGAGACUCCAUUUCAAAAAAAAAAAACAGAAAAAGAAAAAAAAGAAAGUGUUUCAAGCAAGGGACAGACAGACUGUAUUGCAAGCUACUGAGAUGGAAGACAAUGGACACAGAACACAGGUGGCCUUUAUCCCAGGUCAGCCACAAUCUAAGCCCCACAGGACUCUGCACAUCCUUGAUUCUGACCCUAUCUCCCACCCAUCCUGUGUUCCAGAAACCACCACCAGCACCAACCGCCCUGUCAUUAGACUCUUCUUCUCCAAGCAUACUUCUAGCUGCACUCUCAUGAAAACCUGGCUUCCCCUGGAGCUUUCGGGUGUAGAGAUAUCUUUUCGCAGGAUCCCUCUACCUCUGGGUCUGUAGGUGGGGUUGGGGCCCUCCUGGCUCCUUCCUAACACUACCAGGCCAUUCUCCACCCUGGGAGCUACCAUGUGUAAGCUUCCUGGUCUCAGAAUCACCAGCACCACCUUCGCUCUGGUCGGCAUCUUCAUUUCUUGGUGAUUUUAGCUCCUAACUCACUGUCAUUCCCUCCAUCUCCAAGUGUGGAAACUCAGUGCUUCUGAAUCCACACAGGCAAUCCUUCCAGCCUCCUGCCCUAUAUCCUAAAAGUACCUGGGUUUUGUUUGAAUCAGGUAUAGUAAAGUGACAGACUAGAAGACAAGUGCCACAAAGGAAGGAUUUAGUACUCGUGGUUCUCAGGAGGAGGGGCCCUGCCAUGCCACGCAGGGCCAGAAGGGGAAGUACCAGGGUCAGGAGGAGCCAGGAGAGAGCAUGACCCAGAGCCUUUUUUGUGUUUUCCUCAGGGUGAAAAUGGACAAGGCAGGGUAGGUAAGUGUGAGCAAGUUUAGGAUUAGAUAGCUUGAAUCAUGUCAGCAGACUCUAGGUCACAGCAGGGGGCUCUAGCCGUCUGGUAUCUGUCCCUGGGGGAUGCAGGGCAGGAGAAAUGCUGGCUUGGGGUGUGAGAGUCAGAUCAGGAAGAGACUGGGGAUAUGGGCUCUGGAUUGGUGUUUAUAAAGUUGUUUGCUAGCUCUGGGGAUUAGCCAGCCCUGGAAGGGGCAGCAUCUCCCUGACUAGUAAAGCCCCCAAGAUGUCAAAGCAUAAUAACAUACAGAAAAGGAAAAGUGUGGGCCGGGCGCAAUGGCUCUGCCUGUAAUCCCAGUACAUUGGGAGGCCGAGGUGGGCAGAUCACCUGAGGUCAGGAGUUCAAGACCAGCCUGGUCAACAUGGUGAAAUCCCAUCUCUACUAAUAAUACAAAAAAAAUCAGCCGGGCAUGGUGGUGGCACACGCCCGUAAUCCCAGCUACUCGGGAGGCUGAGAUAGGAGAAUCGCUUGAACCCAGGAGGUGGAGGUUGCAGUGAGCCAAGAUUGGGCCAUUGCACUCCAGCCUGGGCGACAAGAGUGAAACUACAUUUCAAAAAAAAAAAAAAAAAGGAAGGGAGGGAGGGAAAAGAAAAGUGUGGUAAACACGUGUCAGUCUCAUGGUUCCUCCUCCAAAACCCUCCUCUACCUCAGCAGUCUCCUUCCUAGGGCGUGGUGGUCCCUCCUCAAAGAUCCCGCCCACCUUUGCAUCCCUGCUGCUCUUCCCACCGGGGGGCUUCCCCUGGAACCUAGGCUGGCCCACAGCUUGCGUUAACUGGAAGAAUUGCAAUGAAACAGGCUGGGCGCAGUGGUCCAUGCCUGUAAUCCCAGCACUUUGGGAGGCCGAGGCGGGCAGAUCGCUUGAGAUCAGGAGAUCAAGACCAGCCUGGCCAACAUGGUGAAACCUCAUCUCUACUAAAAAUACAAAAAUUAGCCAGGCGUGGUGGCACGUGCCUGUAAUCCCAGCUACUCAGGAGGCUGUGGCAGGAGAAUCACUUGAGCUCGGCGGGGGAGGUUGCAGUGAGCUGAGAUCACGCCACUGCACUCCAGCCUGGGUGACAGAGUGAGACUUCAUCUCAAAAUCAAACAAAACAAAAACAGUCAAGGCUGGGUGUAGUGGCUCACAUCUGUAAUCCCAGCACUUUGGGAGGCUGAGGCGGGUGGAUCACAAGGUCAAGAGAUCGAGACCAUCCUAGCCAACAUGGAGAAACUUCACCUCUAUUAAAAAUACAAAAAUUAGGCCGGGUGUGGUGGCUCACGCCUGUAAUCCCAGCACUUUGGGAGGCCGAGGCGGGUGGAUCACAAGGUCAGGAGAUCGAGACCAUCCUGGCUGACAUGGUAAAACCCCAUCUCGACUGAAAAUACAA
rnacentral:lncRNA from 1 species